CAAUAGCGUAUAUUAAAGUUGUUGCGGUUAAAAGCUCGUAGUUGGAUUUCUGCUGAGGACGACCGGUCCGCCCUCUGGGUGAGUAUCUGGCUUGGCCUUGGCAUCUUCUUGGAGAACGUAGCUGCACUUGACUGUGUGGUGCGGUAUCCAGGACUUUUACUUUGAGGAAAUUAGAGUGUUUCAAGCAGGCACACGCCUUGAAUACAUUAGCAUGGAAUAAUAAGAUAGGACCUUGGUUCUAUUUUGUUGGUUUCUAGAGCUGAGGUAAUGAUUAAUAGGGAUAGUUGGGGGCAUUCGUAUUUAAUUGUCAGAGGUGGAAUUCUCGGAUUUGUUAAAGACUAAACUUAUGCGAAAGCAUUUGCCAAGGAUGUUUUCAUUAAAUCAAGAAACG
rnacentral:rRNA from 1 species